AAACAAAUCCACAGAUUAAGGAUUAAAAUAAUGGCCAAAAUAGAGGCAGUGGCUCAUGCAGGGGAAAGAGGCAGUGCAGACGUCUCAGACCAGACACCAACUUCCCCCCACAUGCCUCCCACACCCCUUUGUGGGCCAGUGGCGUCUUGUGUAAGUGGAGGCAACCUGACCCAGAGGAAGAGGAGCCAGCGCCUGCCUAGAGAGUUCCUGGGGAAGUGGGCCUUGUGUGGGGAGCCCUUUGGGAGCAGGGGGUGCCUCAUUUAUGCUAUCUGUGAAAUGGGGAUGGGUGCCGCCUUCCAGCUGGAGCUGGAGUCCCAGCCCUCAGCCCCUUGAACAGAUGUGGGGGUUAUUGUGGCUCCACUUGCCCUCCCAGGAAACUGCUGGAAGAACAAGAACCCUUUGAUAGGCUUCAUCAAAGCUGCCUCCAUGUCCCCUGGGGGCUGACUGGUGGGUGGGGGGGGGGCAGUAAGAGCCUCUAGCUGGGAACAGCUGUGAGGCCCCAAUGCAGAGGUGGAGGCUAUGAAGGGUGCCCCCUCGUUGGCUGGGGUUAAGAAUGUCCCUGAGGCAGGUCGCCUAGGGGAGCCUCGAGGCCCUUCUCUGCAUCCUCCCUGGGUGGCUCGGGUGAGCAGCGCUCUCAGCACCGAGCAGAGCAGCCCUCUCCUGUUGUGAAGAGCUCUUUCACUGUGGCUCUGACUCCCCUGGGGCAGGGGUCUACGAGGAGGGCCGUGGGGGAGCCAGCCCCCUUAACCCCUGGGGGUCCCUGAGGCUCCCGUUAGGGGACCGGAGUGAAGUCUUCCUGGGGCUCCCAGACCUGCCUCACUCAGGGGCCAAGCCUGCCUGGAAACAGCUUGGUCUUCGAGGAGAACCAGCAGGAGACAGAACUAGCAUAAAACCUCUCUGCCAGCCAGAGCCCCUCCACAACUUUCCGCGAUGAAAACACGGCCCCACAGCUCCUCCUACGGGGUGGGGUGUGCGCAUGUGCAUGCGUGCACACGUGUACACGUGCUGCGGCCACGGGUCUCCCAUUGUGGCCGUGGGGGUAAGGGUGUCAUUUGGAGUUAGUGCUGGGGCCAAGUGCUGGAAUCUCUGCCGAGACGUUUGUUUAAUUCCUCAGUUUCCUCAUCUGCGAAUGAGCCUAAUGACAGUUCCUCUCUCACAGGUUGUCGCUAGGGUUCCAUGCAGUACCAUGUGCAAAGCCCUGUGCCUGGGGUAUAGAGCUGGCGCCCAGUACAAAGGGCAAUUGUGGUUGCUGUUAUCACCAUCGUGGGGUACCGUCUUUCCAGAUUCCAGUUUCUAGGUAAUCUAUUGCUUCAGCCUGGUGUGAAAAGCAAAGCACUUUCAGGGCGUUUUUUUAAAAAGCAUCUGGAGGAGGUAUGGCUGGGAGAAGCUUUAGCCCCAGAGCGCCUUGGACAUUGGGGGUUCAGUGUGACGUCCCAGAUGUGGAGGGCUGGGGAUGCGGCUGAAAUUGGCUGUGUUCCUGCUGCUUUGGGAGCAUGUGUGAUUUGUGCUCAGUUUGGGUGUGUGGCCCGGCCGUGUUAUGCACUCUGGGUGUUGGGAGGGUGCUGGGUUGUGUUUGCUAAGUGGGAGCUUUUCCCUGUCCUGUGAGCCCGUGAGGCUUUCUCUGUGUGUCUGACCCUCUGGGUUUAUGUGCCUCACUGUUUCCACCUAACUAUCUCUCUACCUGUCUUUCUCUCUCCUUCUCCUCUCUCUCUCCCCCUUUCUUUUGUUUUUAAAUUUUAUAUUUAUUUAUUUUUUUAUCGCGGUAACAUUGGUUUGUAACACUGGUUUCACGUGUACAACAUUGUUUUUCUACCUCGAUAUACCACACAGUGUGCUCAUAGCCUUCGUCUGUCACCAUAUAGUCGCUCCCUUUUACCCCUUUCGUCCUCCCCACCCCCUACUCCUUCCCUGGGGGUAACUGCUACUCUGUUCUCUGAAUCUAAGUGCUAGUUUACAUUUGGGUUUGUUCGUUUAUUUUGGUUUUUGUUUGUUUUUAGAUUCCACAUAGGAGUGAAAUCAUUUGGUGUUUGUCUUUCUCCAUAUGACUUAUUUCACUUAGCAUGUUACCCCCAAGGUCCGUCUAUGUUGUCACAAAUAUAUAUAUAUAUUAUAUAAUAUCUUUAUCAAUUCAUUGUUGAUGGUGCUUCACCAGUUCUUAAAGGCACAUGUCUUUGCACCUCUCCUUGGUUUUGCUGCCGUGUGUGUUUUUGUGGGUACCUGGUCUUUGGGUCCUUUUCCCUGGUGUCCCUGUAGGCUUGAUCUGUGGGAGCCGCAGUUGAGUGAGGGGCUCCAGGGCUGAGGGGGAUGGAGGGGGACAGGCCGCUUCCUGGGGAGGGCUGGGUUUGGAAGCCAUGUUGGGUUUGGACACGUCCUUCUCAUGCAGGCAGAGGUUAUAGAUUCUUCUUGCCUAAAGCAAAUGGUACUUACUAAAUCUAACUCUGAGCAGAGAGAGAGCUUAGAGCUCUUCCCUGGACCAGUUCUUUCAUUUUACUGACUGGGGAGGGGGAGUCCUGAGACCAGCAGUGACUAGGAGGGUGGAGGUGUGCACUGCUAGGGCUGUGGGCUGCUGCCAGGCAUCUCCUGGGCCUCACUCCCUUCCCCAAAUGGUCCAUUUCCAGGACCAGGCCUCAGACAGAGGUAGGAGUCUCAGCUGGGAACCUGGGCUGGACCUUCAGCUGGGCCUGGGCAGGGCCUUUUCUGGGAACAGACUCUUGGAGGGGAUAGGGUUUCCCCAAUAAACAAUGCAUCUUUUUUUUUUUAGUAUCCCAAAUAUUGCAUGAGACAUGCUUAUACUAAAAAUGAUUUGCAGGAGUUCCUGUUGUGGCGCAGUGAAACAAAUCCACUUAGGAAACGUGAGGGUUCCAUCCCUGGCCUAGCUCAGUGGGUUAAGGGUCUGGUGUGGCCGUGAGCUGUGGCAUAGGCUGGCAGAUGUGUCUCCAAUUUGACCCCUAGCCUGGGAACCAUCAUAUGCCACAGGUGCGGCCCUAAAAAGCAAAAUAAAUAAACAAACAAAUAAAUAAACGUUGCAAUUCUCACUUAAAAAUGAAAAAAUGUAGAUAUAAAAAAAUGAUUUGCAGAGUUCUCGUUGUGGCUCAGCGUGUUAAAAAACCUGACAUAGUAUCUAUGAGGAUGUGGGUUUGAUCCCUGGCCUUGCUCAGUGGGUUAAGGAUCCGGCGUUGCUGCAAGUUGUAGUGUAGUUUGUAGCUGUGGCUCAGAUCCAGUGUUGCUGUGGCUGAGGUGUAGGCCAGUAGCUGCCGCUCUGAUUAGACCCCUAGCCUGGGACCCUCCACAGGCCGUAGGUGUGGCCUUAAAAAAAACAAAAAGAUUCACAUUGGUCUGAAAUUCAGAGUUAACUGAGCAUCCUAUGUUUUUAUUUGCAACUCUAUUUCAGGGCCAGGGGACUGGGGGCUGGUGAAGAAAUGGGGAGGAUUCAGCCACGUUCCACCCACGGACAGUUACCCCAGGUCCACCCAAGUCAGCUUCUACCUGUUGAGUGUUUCCUGGGGCCAGCCUUGUGCCAGGAGCAGUGAGGGUGACAUGCUUGGAGACCCAUGGCUCUGCCUGAAGGCCCACAUGCUCCAGCUCAGUGGGCCUGGGUGUUGGAACAAGGUCACUGCCCAGGGUCUGGAGACCAAACUGGUCAACAGGAGCUCUCCAUUUUCCAAAAGUCAAGAGAGAUAGCAUUGUGAUGAAUAAAAUGCACAUUUGUUUAAAGGCAAGCAUUACAUAAUAGCUUUUGGCUCUUAAGGCUUUUUCUCAAGAAAAAUACCAAAAGUAAUUACUAGGGGAGAAGGACGCUCUGGGGGUUUUCAUACUGGAAGAAAUCUGAGGACUAUUAAGAUUGAGGACUCUAGGAUUUGACCUUUCAUAGACUGUGGACCCAGUGGACAUCUGGUGAAGCCUAUGGACUUUUUCUUGUAAAGGUUUCAAAUAUAUAAAAUCAAACCCACAAAACUGCAAAAGAAACCAGUGGUACAGAAAUACAGAUAUCAAAACAUAAGGGAAACAGCUUUAUGAAUGAGUAAUAGACAUGCUUCUUUAUUGACGCUUUGGUGGCGAUCAUUU
rnacentral:lncRNA from 1 species